GGUGGGGAGGGGGCAACAGGCCUGGGCCCUGAGAUGGGGGUGUGGCCUGGGCCUCUAGGAUGGGGUGCUGCCUGGUCCCUGAGAUGGGGGCCUGGGCUCUGAGAUGGGGUGCUGCCUGGACCUCUAGGACGGGGUGCGGCCUGGGCCCUGAGAUGGGGUGCGGCCUGGGCUGCAGCCUUUCCACUUCCUCUCAGUCUAUUCCCACCUUGGAGCUGGCCAGGAGGAUCACUGGAACUGGAGUAUUCUCUGCAGAAAACCCAGGAAGACCACAGGAGAAUGAGAGUUUGUGCUAUGUUGGCGUUUCCUCCCAUCUCAGGCACGAAGGCUGGGGAAUCUUAGAUGGCCUCUUCAGCUUAAUGAGCUGCAGAGGAUGAGUGGCCCAUAAAGAAGGAUGGCAAGCAGCUGACGUGUCCAAGGGGCUCCAGCUUAAGAACAUUAGAGAGGUAGAUUUUAUCAGCUCCACGAACGGAGGAGUGAAGAGCAGUCACAGAACAAAGUAGCAGCUCCCAGUCCCUCCUCUGUUUUGUCUUCUUCAGAAGUUGACACGAUUCCGUUCACCUCAUUCUCAGAAGGCUCACCGAACCUCACGGCCACUGCUCCGAAGCUUGGUUGGAAUACACACGGACAGUUGGUCACGGGGGGCGAAUUCCCGAGAAGCCAUAGGAGAAGCCACGUCUGAGGAGCUGGGGGGGAUGUGGAGAUGGGGACCCUGGGCCUGGACUCCUUGGCCCCCGUAGGAUGCAUGGGUGUGGGGCUGCUCUCCCCAGACAGCCAGGUCCCCCACAGCAGGACCCCAUCGGGCCACUCUCACCGGGCGCUCUGCUCUGACGGCCUCGGGGUGCCCCCACCUCCGCCUGGGCUGUGCUCCCGGCCGGAUGGCCUGGGAUUCUCCUGACUUCACUCUGGGACAGUCCCUCCAUGACACAGUGCUCCCACCGCGGGCCUCAUCUUCCACAUCUGCAACACAAGGGGCAGAAUCGUCACCUCCAGGGUCCCUCGCUGCCCAGAAGCUCUGCACUCCUGCCUACGAUCAUCGCUGUUAUAGCUCGGGGACACACCAGGCUCCUGAGAUGCGCCUCCCCGCAGAAGCUCUGUGCCCUCCCCGGCCUGCAGUGCCCCCGCCCCACAGCGAGUUCGUGCAGGGCUGGCCCCUGACUGUGGAGGGACUCCGGUGUCAGGCCGGCCUGUGCCCUGUGGGCGGGGGGAAGCCAGCUGCGGAAAAACUCCCCUCACAUAGGGUCGGGGGCAGUAAAUAAAGGGCAGGUUCGAGUCCUCAGCUGGAGCUAUGGCCAGGAACUGGGGUGGAGGGAAGACGGGGGGCAGUGGCAGGAGUUCUGCAGGGUGGAGAUGGCCCAGACACUGCUUUUCAAGAUGAGCUUAGACUUGGGAGAACUCUCCAUUUCUCCACAUCUUUAGUAAAGUCGGCCAUACACAAAGAGCUGGGUCCGUUUGCUUCUGUGUUGAGGAAUUGUUUAGGUGGCCGUCAAAGCAGGUCUGCGACCAGCCUCGGUGGGCCUGGUGCAGGCCAGACGGGCCUGAGCGGAGAGGUAAGGCAGUGAGCGUUCGAGAAUGCAGGCCUCGCACAGAUUCGGCGUGACGACAAUAACGUCAGAAGGAGAGCUUAAUACCCGUGCUGCACUUCCAGACGUUUCCUGAGCAAGUGUGAUGUGCGUGUUUGGUGCCUUCAGGAUAUAUUGUUUCAAAGCUCAA